rnacentral:lncRNA from 1 species
AGGGAGGCGUAAACCAGCAAAGGAAUAGGAUAGAAAUAUAGGGCCUUCGCAUGGAGCUGAGUAGACCAGGGCAGCCACAACCGCUAAGUAAGGACUGUGGAGAGCUGUGCUCACCCCAACGGCUUCUGCUCUUGGAUCUGCAGCUAACACCUGACACAGCCAGAGAUGGUCUCUGCCCUUUCUCUAGGAUUCCCCAGGAGAGGAGGGAACAUUGUGACAAUGACAAAGCUGAUUUUCAAUGUACUUGGAUGUGAUUUUAUGUGAAUUCCUAAUUCCCAUAAUAUUCUUUCUUGAAACAGAGGAGAAAAUAUUGUUUGCCAAAGAAGAAGAUUUGCAAAAGCUGGUGUCUUGAGGUUGAGGGAGUGUGUAGGGGUUGAAAGACACCUGCAACAGCCAAUCACAGGAUUGCAGACGUGAGCUGGAGGGGCCUUGAGCAAGGGUCUGCGUAGGAGGGCAUUUUAAGCAACUGUACAAGAUGUCUAUGUAACAUACCCCAUUACUUUAGAGUAGGGGAAAUCAUGGCUAGAGUAAACUAACAGAGAGAUAAAAAUGUCUUCCACCUGCACUGGCAUCCGGAUGGGACUCAGAUCUCAGAUCCACACCUCUCAAGAACACCACAUUAAUAUCCCUAGUGGUCAGCAAUGGUGACCUGUGCCCAAAGCUCAAGUCUAACUGAGGACCCCUUAGUAAUCUGGCAGCACUGGGAGCUUGUUGCUAACACUCGCAGGCAGAGACCACACCACUGACUUCUCUUCUGGCUUCACCUCCCAAGUGGUGACAUGGAUCCCAAUGAAGGAAAGUCAAGUACAUUCCAAGUUAGAAAGAGAGCUGGUGAUAGCCACACCCUCACACUCACCUGAUUGGUCCAUUCAGUCCCUGGGUGACAUUGACAUCCCCACCUCCCAUCCUGCCAUGAACCCUUUGGGGUCAUCCUCCUGAGUCUGGGGAGCUCUGAGAAGCUGUGGGCAAAUGUGGGCUGGGAAGAACGGUAUGAAAUGAAAUUCCAAGACACAGCUCCAAACAAAGCCAAAUCUUAGCUCUUCAAACCACUCUGCUCUAACAGUCAAGAGUUGUGCUCAGAGGUGGCCAAUGGACCUCAA